ACACUUACCUUCUAAAAUUGUUCGAUGAGGCUUUUUCGCAGACCCUCGGUUGCCAAUCCACCUGGUUGACCUGGAAAUAAAUUUAAUGACAUGAAAUUAAAUUACCUCUCCAUCCUCAGUUCACUUAGCGAAUCAGAACAAGCACCUUGUGCAAACUCUCCGGCCAUUGAACGGGAUGUUGGUAUCGCUCAGGCAGGGGAAUCAAGCAGAGCGGGGAGUCUUCGAAACGAGCUUAGCCUUUACCACAACGAGCUGAUUGCUAAGAAGCACGCCUUUCCCAUAACCUUAAAAAACCCUAACUGAGUCACCUCCGGAAUCGGGUGCCUUGGUUGUGGCGGCGAGUGGCGGUCAGGCGAGUAGGAGUCAGUGUGAGUUCAGUGGGUUGAACGCGCCGCUGGAACCGACCACGUCGUCCGGGAGGUUCUUGAGCACCGUGUUCCAGAAUGAUCGUGAGUAUUUUUCACUCACCGUGGAGAAGCAGCUGGAGCAACUCGCUUACGAUAGGGAUGAAGCCGCGGCGAGGAUGACGUUGAGCUUGGCCUCCGAUGAAGCUUGCCUCCACAGGCCAUGCAAUCAAUGCCACCUAAUCUUAACCAGGAUAAGUCAUCACAAAUUGGAAGUAACUUGCGAAAAAGCUUAUCCAACAAUUUUAGGAGGUAACUGUGUCUAAUUACAUUAUGUUUUAGAUGGUGAGGUGAAUUGAACACUUCUUCGAAGUAGAUGGACCUAUUUGACACUUCUCCCUAGUAUUUAUUAUUUAUGUAUUCUUUGGGCCUCCGUUUUGGGCCAAUAUCUCGGGCUUUGUAUGUACUAUUUUGGGUCUAGCACCCUGGGUAAUAAAGCUAUUGUCUUCCUACCCA